rnacentral:rRNA from 1 species
AUACGUAGGGGGCAAGCGUUGUCCGGAAUGACUGGGCGUAAAGGGCGCGUAGGUGGCCUUAUAAGUUUGGAGUGAAAGUCCCGCUUUCAAGGUGGGAAUUGCUUUGAAGACUGUAGGGCUUGAGUGUGGGAGAGGAUAGCGGAAUUCCCGGUGUAGCGGUGAAAUGCGUAGAGAUCGGGAGGAACACCAGUGGCGAAGGCGGCUAUCUGGACCAAGACUGACACUGAGGCGCGAAAGCGUGGGUAGC